UAUAAAGUGUGUUUUUUGUUGUGGUAGGGAGCCAGCGACGGAUCAUUGGCCGCGUUAUCCAUAAUAAUGCUAUUGAGCUCUGUUUGGAAACAACAAUAACAAAUUAUCUUUCGGAGUGGAUGAGCCGGCUGGUUUCAGUUGAUUUGGAUUCGGAUUUGGCUAACCGGUGGCUCGACUGGAUUCAGGCGGAUUGAUCCUAAAGUUUACACGGAUGCUCAGAGCUGGGGGUUGGUCAACCGAUUGGCAAAGUAUCAUGACAAGACUCCUUAUCUGCACAAAAAAAAUCUGUCUUUCAAGUAAAUGUUCUAUCCAACAUCUUGAAAGCCAAGCGAUUCAAGCGGACUCUUAUUUGAAACUGCCCAGAGGUUCCCAGAUGAAAUCGACGCAGAGAAUUGAAUUAUAGCGAACUGGAUGUAGCUCCGACCAAGAGCGUGAUGAAUGCCUAGACGUAAAUUUCACAUGAGGUACCUCUUCCACGGUUACAUCGUCUUUUGGUGGACCAAUUCAACGCCAGCAGCAUGAGUACAAGACAUACGGAGACACAUCGUGGCUAGAAAUCGUGCAUAUUUUGGACUCUACAACCAUUGACGAAUUCGUCAAUGCUACAACUAUCGAGACAAGUAUGGACUGAGUAAUUUUAAUUUAUAUAAAUUUAACAUUACAAUUUGUUUUACAUUUUUUUUAUUAACAGGGAAAAUUUACAUUUAUUGUGAGAUGCAAUAAAUGAUUUUCACCAUUAAAAAAUAUCAUCGAACUUUGUAAUAUCGAUUCAAUAUUACAAAGUGCAAUGAUGUAUUAUUGUAAAGUGAAUCAUUUUUUUUGCAUUUCACAACAAAUGUGAUUUUUUCUCUGUUAGUAAAAUAAAUUGUAAAA